GAGAGGUAACGGCUCACCAAGGCAUCGACGGGUAGCUGGUCUGAGAGGAUGAUCAGCCACACUGGAACUGAGACACGGUCCAGACUCCUACGGGAGGCAGCAGUGGGGAAUCUUGCACAAUGGGCGCAAGCCUGAUGCAGCGAUGCCGCGUGCGGGAAGAAGGCCUUAGGGUUGUAAACCGCUUUCAGGAGGGAAGAAAAUGACGGUACCUCCAGAAGAAGGUGCGGCCAACUACGUGCCAGCAGCCGCGGUGACACGUAGGCACCAAGCGUUAUCCGGAUUUAUUGGGCGUAAAGAGCUCGUAGGCGGUUUGGUAAGUCGGGUGUGAAAACUCUGGGCUCAACCCAGAGAGGCCACUCGAUACUGCUAUGACUAGAGUACGGUAGGGGAGCGGGGAAUUCCUGGUGUAGCGGUGAAAUGCGCAGAUAUCAGGAGGAACACCAGCGGCGAAGGCGCCGCUCUGGACCGUAACUGACGCUGAGGAGCGAAAGCAUGGGUAGCAAACAGGAUUAGAUACCCUGGUAGUCCAUGCCGUAAACGUUGGGCACUAGGUGUGGGUCUCAACCAACGAGAUCCGCGCCGUCGCUAACGCAUUAAGUG
rnacentral:rRNA from 1 species